CACAAAUCCUCCAGAGCCCAGAGGACCCAAGCUAGAGUGGAAGAAGGGUUGGAGAAGAUUCUGUACCUAUACAAGAAAAUACAUGGAAUACAAAGACAUCUUAACAUCCUGCUUCCCUCAAACCUGUGAAAUUGGCACAUUACCUAUCUGACAUGAAGAAAAAAUAAAAUAAACAAAAACAUUAAUAUCCACUACAAAGUCCCAUCUCAAAUAUCACUUCUGUGAAGGCAUACCUGACUCCUCUCACUUCCAAGAUUCUACAAGUUUGCCUCAUGGAAGGGAGCCAAUAUGAUCUGAGCACCUGCAGAUAAGAGAAAAGGCACUUGAGGAGGAGUGGUUGAGUUAGAUGAACCAGCUGCUUCUGAAGAAGGGGCAGACGUAUGUACGUUUUAAAGCUGAGAGCUGUGAAGGAAGAAAGAGCCCCUAAAAGACAGGAAUAAGAAGACACAAACAUACUGUGUAGGAAAUGGAGGUCAUUCUAAAGCUAUCUGGAAACAGUCACCAUGGUGACUGUGCUCACGUAGUGAGACAUAAUAAUACCAUAGUAGGGUGAACCUGGCAGACCAUUGCAAUACAAGUUUCCUGCUUUGACAUCUUAUGUAGUCUGGUCCCAUAGAAAGAGAAAAACAGCAGUCUAAAGUACAAUAUAUGGAUGCUUUAAUUUCAACAUCUUCUCAGGAUGGGAAUUUGCAAUUAGAUGUCAAAGGAGGAGUGUCUUACUUCAUUUGCAUUGCUAUAAACGAAUACCUGAGGCUGGGUAAUUUAUAAAGAAAAAAAGAUUUAUUUGGCUUAUGGUUCUGCAAGCUGCAAGAAGCGUAACAUCAGCAUCUGUUUCUGGUGAGGGCCUCAGGGUGCUUUUACUCAUGGUGGAAGGCAAAGGGAAGCAGGCAUCACAUGGCAAGAGAGGAAGGAAGAGACAGCGGAAGGAGGUGCCGCUCUUUCAACAAUCAGCUACUUUUGAUGGUCAAUGUUAGGUGUCAACUUGACUGCACUGAGGGAUUGCCCAGAUGGCUGGUGAAGCAUUGUUUUGGGGUGUGUCUGUGAGGGUGUUUCCAGAGAAGAUUGGCAUGUGAGUCAGCUGACUAGGAGAGGAAGACCCACCCUCAAUGUAGGCAGGCACCAUCCAGUCAGCCGCUGGUGGGUCAUAAACAAAGCAAGUGGAAGAAGG
rnacentral:lncRNA from 1 species